CCCAUCAGGUAUAUUGGCUCUGGGACCAAAGGCACCAGAUCCCAUCUGAUCUUAUAAGUUAAGCAGAAUCAGCCAUGGUUAGUACUUGCAUGAGAGGCCACCAAUUAAUACCAGGUGCUGUUGGGC
rnacentral:rRNA from 1 species